rnacentral:rRNA from 1 species
GACGAACGUUGGCGGCGUGCUUAAUACAUGCAAGUCAACUGAAGCAGUGGUAGCAAUAUCGCUGUGGAGGUGGCGCACGGGUGAGUAACACGUAGGUAAUCUGCCUUCAGGUCUGGCAUAACUCCGGGAAACCGGGGCUAAUAGCAGAUGAUGCAGCGGCUCGACAUCGAGACAGUUGUUAAAGCUAUGGCGCCUGAAGAUGAGCCUGCAUCUGAUUAGCUAGUUGGCGGGGUAACGGCCCACCAAGGCAACGAUCAGUAGCUGGUCUGAGAGGAUGAUCAGCCACACUGGAACUGAGACACGGUCCAGACUCCUACGGGAGGCAGCAGUAAGGAAUAUUGCUCAAUGGGAGAAAUCCUGAAGCAGCAACGCCGCGUGAGGGACGAAGGGCUUUUGCUUGUAAACCUCUGUAGUGAGAGAAAAAAAUCCCAAUCUUUGGGACAUGAUGGUAUCUCAAAAGUAAGCCCCGGCUAACUACGUG